rnacentral:rRNA from 1 species
GACGAACGCUGGCGGCGUGCCUAAUACAUGCAAGUCGAGCGAAGUUUUUCUGGUGCUUGCACUAGAAAAACUUAGCGGCGCACGGGUGAGUCACACGUAAAGAACCUGCCUCAUAGACUGGGACAACUAUUGGAAACGAUAGCUAAUACCGGAUAACAGUAUUUCUCGCAUGAGAGAUAUUUAAAAGUUGGUUAUGCUAACACUAUGAGAUGGCUUUGCGGUGCAUUAGCUAGUUGGUGGGGUAAAGGCCCACCAAGGCGACGAUGCAUAGCCGACCUGAGAGGGUGAUCGGCCACACUGGGACUGAGACACGGCCCAGACGCCUACGGGAGGCAGCAGUAGGGAAUCUUCCGCAAUGGGCGAAAGCCUGACGGAGCAACGCCGCGUGAGUGAAGAAGGAUUUCGGUUCGUAAAGCUCUGUUGUUAGGGAAGAAUGGAUAUGUAGUAACUAUACAUGUAAGAGACGGUACCUAACCAGAAAGCCACGGCUAACUACGUG